rnacentral:lncRNA from 1 species
AAAAGUUUUAUGCAUUGUGAGCACCUUAAAAUCUGGCUGUAAAAGUUCUGAAGAAUAAAUGGGAAUUCAGGCUCCAUAAAGCCUAUGGCUCCUUCAACAAAAUCACACUUCUGAAGAUGUCCAAGAGACUGUCCCACCACAGAGCAGCAAUUCUGAAUCUGAAGUCAAGCCAGCAGAAGCUCAGUUCAGCUAUCUUCACUGGAAGCUUAUACAGAUGUAAGGCAUCACAGCGGUGACACUUCCACUGAAGUCUUCCCAGAUAACAUAAUUCAUAGAUUAAUCUCCAGUGAAGUUUCCUGAAGAAGGGAUGCAUCCAAGCUCCCAAACCGUGGUGCGAGUUUGGGGAGUCACGCUGAGUCACCUGCCUGCAGGUGGGUCUGAAAAAAGGAAGCACCCAAAACCAGACCGAACUCAAACUGUGCUGAAGGGAUUAAAGCCCGGAGUUUGGGGUGCCCAGCCUGUAGCUCUGCCUGCCCCGCCUCGAGGAGCUCUGGAGCACACCAGUUGCCCUCGCUGA